rnacentral:rRNA from 1 species
UACGAAGGGGGCUAGCGUUGUUCGGAAUUACUGGGCGUAAAGCGCACGUAGGCGGAUUGUUAAGUCAGAGGUGAAAUCCCGGAGCUCAACUUCGGAACUGCCUUUGAUACUGGCAAUCUAGAGUCCGGAAGAGGUUAGUGGAAUUCCCAGUGUAGAGGUGAAAUUCGUAGAUAUUGGGAAGAACACCAGUGGCGAAGGCGGCGUAACUGGUCCGGUACUGACGCUGAGGCGCGAAAGCGUGGGGAGCAAACAGG